AGGAGAUUGAGGCUACACAUCUUAUAAAUGUGCUGUAGGAACCACCUAGAUUUUCCUUGUACAUAAUUUUAAAAGACUGCAAGUUACAUCAUGUACCAGCUUUAUAGUAGGUUUAACAUUUGAACAGCUUUUGCCUAUAUAUAUGCCAUAUCAUAUUUGAUCAAUUUUUUUGGAAAGGCAGCAUGUUAGUUUGAAAGAGAAGAAUUAGAAUAUAAAGUGUGCGUAGGGUUAGUUUGCCAACUCUUUAUAUCUAAUAAGUAAGCAUUUGGAGUUUCCUCUUUUUCAUAUUAUGGGAAUAAGCAUUAAGUGAGCCAAUCAUGUUAAAUGACAUCACACGGCUUUCUGCUUCAAUUUAUAUGCAGGUGUAUGAUAAGCAAUAUAAACAAGAAUUAACAAAUGCAACAAACCUAGCAUCAACAGGUUUUCAGAUCUUGCUUUCUACUAAAAUAAGCUUGCAACAUCUUUGAUAUUAAUGUGUGUUCAUUGUCCAUUUUAGAGAAUAAAUUUGCGGUAUAUG
rnacentral:sRNA from 1 species